rnacentral:misc_RNA from 1 species
GUAACAAGGUUUCCGUAGGUGAACCUGCGGAAGGAUCAUUAGUGAAUAUAGGACGUCCAACUUAACUUGGAGUCCGACCUCUCACUUUCUAACCCUGUGCAUUUGUUUGGGAUAGUAACUCUCGCAAGAGGGCGAACUCCUAUUCACUUAUAAAACACAAAGUCUAUGAAUGUAUUAAAUUUUAUAACAAAAUAAAACUUUCAACAACGGAUCUCUUGGCUCUCGCAUCGAUGAAGAACGCAGCGAAAUGCGAUAAGUAAUGUGAAUUGCAGAAUUCAGUGAAUCAUCGAAUCUUUGAACGCACCUUGCGCUCCAUGGUAUUCCGUGGAGCAUGCCUGUUUGAGUGUCAUGAAUACUUCAACCCUCCUCUUUCUUAAUGAUUGAAGAGGUGUUUGGUUUCUGAGCGCUGCUGGCCUUUACGGUCUAGCUCGUUCGUAAUGCAUUAGCAUCCGCAAUCGAACUUCGGAUUGACUUGGCGUAAUAGACUAUUCGCUGAGGAAUUCUAGUCUUUGGACUAGAGCCGGGUUGGGUUAAAGGAAGCUUCUAAUCAGAAUGUCUACAUUUUAAGAUUAGAUCUCAAAUCAGGUAGGACUACCCGCUGAACUUAAGCAUAUCAAAAA